AUCAAACAGAGUGGUCCUGAGUACAGAGAAACUGAAAUGAGAGAUUAAUCAAAUAAAGCAAUCAUAGUUGGGACUGAUCGUCAAUUGUAAAUCAUACCAACAAAGAAGGAACGCAGAGCAAAGAAACAAGGUAUUCUUAAGAGUUGUCAACUGGAAAUCUCAUAUAUAUUUAUGAGACACUUUUUUUUUUCUUUUUUUUUUUUUUCCAUUUUUUGCCUUUGGCUUUGAUGUAAAUUGAUAUAUGAGAUUGACACUCCAAUGAAAUUUUUUCUUGUUUUGAUUAUUUCUUUAGUUACAAUAUGAAAUGCAAUUUGUCUUCAUUUUAUUUCUCUUUUGGUUGCUGAGAGAUGGUAGGAAAACUUUUGAACUUAAUGAGUUGUUUGUCUAAUUUUUUUUAUUUUCUGUUUCUAUUAAAAUUAGUUUCAUAAAUUUUAAUUAAUAAUUUAUUCCAUUUUUAUUUGAAAUAUUUCAUUACACUUCUGACACGUGUUCAUUCUUUUUUGGGAUCAUUACGCGCCCUAGAGUGCAUGUUCGUGGGCCUCUCCCUUGAUGUAUGGGCCCUUUAAAGGCGCUAAGCUUGGGUCAAUGAGUGGGGCAUUGGCGUGCAAUCGUUAUGUGGGCAUUGGCGGCCUAUAGUGCAUCUUUGGGCCUAGGCAACCUUUUUUAAGGAGGCCUGCUUCAAGUGCCUUGAGGGGUCCCAGUCACUUCCUUUUUUUUUUUUUAUGCUCCAAGUGGGGAACUGGCUCAUAUUAGUUCUUUCUAAUGCCUUAUAUGAUUCAGGACUUCAAUAUUUCACUUUAUGCACUAGUGCCAAGGGGCACCUUGCAAUUUUGCCCAUGAUUGGGAAGGAAAUCUCAAGAUCAGGCCAUCUUACAUGAUAAGGAGUUCUAGUGAUUUAUGGUCCGAUAUUGGUUGUAACUGAAUAACAUGAUAAAUGAACACUUUAUAAGUUUAAAUAUAAUUGGAAAACGUAGUUUGGAAAUGAUAAAUGAACACUCUUUCUCUCUCUCCUUUGUUUCUCCCCCACCGUGACACCAUCGCUUCCGAAGACAAUUGCGACGUUGUUCAAGCACGCUAGGCCACGAGACUAGUCGGAAAAUAACUAGGAGGAGCUGGCGACCAUGCCUGGGUUGAAGCCUAGCCACCUCAGGUCGUCUCACAGCUGCGACGUGCUCAAAAAGUUCCCAAAGUUUUGAGCUUUCAAUUGCCUUUUCCGGCCAUUCCGGCUACCAAUUUUGUCAAUCCAGGUAUGAAUCUUCAUCCCUUCCACAUGCU
rnacentral:lncRNA from 1 species